UUAUUGCUCAAAAAGACUGAAAGGAGUCCUGUUGAGGAUUUAGGUUCCUCCUCUUUUGAAAAGUGCAACCGAUUGAAGUUUUAAAGGGCUCUGGGGUGUUUUGCCAGGCAGAAGUGUGGAAAGCAGCCCUCCUUGCCACCUCUGCUACUGCCAUGGUGUGGAAUCUGCUGCUGGGCACAUUUGAUCUGGAGACUUUGCUGAAAAACAACCUGAAUGGUGGGAAGCCAACCAGAGGGGAUGGGGAGCAGCUGGUCGCCCUUGACCAAAUUAAAAAGGCAUCAUUAUUGAUGCUACAUUGAAGAAGUGUCCGUCAGCCAGCCGAGGGGAGAUGGGCACGUCUAUCAAUUCAAAGCUCAUGGAGCUGAGAAGAUCAAAAAGAUUUUUUUUCUAUCCAGUUUUUUUGUCUUAUUUUUGUUUUUGUACUAUUUGAUCUUAAGUAAAUAAAUAAU